rnacentral:rRNA from 1 species
GAUGAACGCUGGCGGCGUGCCUAACACAUGCAAGUCGAACGGAAAGACCCUGCUUUUGCGGGGUUCUCGAGUGGCGAACGGGUGAGUAACACAUGAGUAUCCCGCCCUUGACUUUGGGAUAACUUCAGGAAACUGGGGCUAAUACCGGAGAGGAGCUCCUGCUGCAUGGGGGGCGUUGGAAAGUUUCGGCGGUUGGGGAUAGACUGGCGGCUUAUCAGCUUGUUGGUGGGGUAGUGGCUUACCAAGGCUUCGACGGCUAGCCGGCAUGGGAGGGGGGACAGGGACCAUACGACUGCGGGACGGCGCAGUCGCGAACGGGAGGCAGUGGUGGGAAGUAUGACACAGCGAGGGGGAGUGUGUUACGAAGGCCUCGGGAGCGGAAAGACGGCUUUCGGGUUGUGAACCGCUUUCGCCUGAGACGAAGCGUGAUUGACGGUAACGAGUAAAGAAGCACCGGCUAACUACGUG